AUUGAACGCUGGCGGCAGGCCUAACACAUGCAAGUCGAACGAGUGGCGGACGGGUGAGUAAUGUCUGGGAAACUGCCCGAUGGAGGGGGAUAACUACUGGAAACGGUAGCUAAUACCGCAUACCAUCGGAUGUGCCAAGAUGGGAUUAGCUAGAAGGUGGGGUAACGGCUCACCUAGGCGACGAUCCCUAGCUGGUCUGAGAGGAUGACCAGCCACACUGGAACGGAGACCCGGUCCAGACUCCUACGGGAGGCAGCAGGGGGGAAUAUUGCACAAUGGGCGCAAGCCUGAUGCAGCCAUGCCGCGUGUGUGAAGAAGGCCUUCGGGUUGGAAAGCACUUUCAGCGGGGAGGCGUUACCCGCAGAAGAAGCACCGGCUAACGCCGUGCCAGCAGCCGCGGUAAUUC
rnacentral:rRNA from 1 species